UCAAACUCCUUCCUGACUCAAAAUAACUCUGUGUCUCAGCAUAGGCUCAGAGCUGAUUGGACAAGAAAACUUUUUAUGGAAAAGAGCCUGGAAAUGCUCUUGUAAAAUAAGUUGACCAGGAGCCAGCAAUGUACUCUGGCAGCAAAAAGACUAACUGGGCUGUCUCAGCAAUAGUAUAGCCACCAGGUCAGGGAAAUUAUUAUUCUGCUUUAUUUGACCCUUGUGAGAUUACCUGGAAUGAUGCAUCCAGCUUUGGACUCCCAGGUACCGGGAAAAUGUCAGUGAAUGGGAGAGACUCCAGCCAAGGGAUACCAAGGUGCUCAGGGGUCUGGAGCAUAAAAUGUGUGAAGAAAGGCUGACAGAGCUGAACUUGUCCAGCCUGAGGAAGAGAAAGCUGGAGCAGGGAGCUCAUAUUAUUCUACAGCAACUUAGAGGUGCUGUACAGAUGAUACAGUUGGACACUUGUCAUACAUGAACAGCAAAGGCACAAGAGGCAAAAAAAACCUGUGGCUGCAAAAAAGGAAAAUUCCUACUGGAUACAGACAUUCUUCUCAGUGAGAGAUUAAGCACUGGGACAGCUUAUUUCAAAAGCUUGCAGAAUUUUUGUCUUUGAAGAUGUUCAAAACUCACCUAGCAGUAAAGAAAUACAACACAGGAAGCCAGCCUUAUCUAUCACACAUCAUCAGGCCCACAGUUCACCUUCGCUCCAGGACUAGCAAGGAAAAAAGGACUGAAUGAAAAGCGUUCAAAGGAGCACAAAAGGAAGAAUCCACUAUCCCACUCUCCUGUCUGGAAUCAACAGAAUAUGAAUCUUCCACCUGUAACCAAAAAAAAAAAAAUGCUUAACCCAUAGCUACACAAACAUUAUACAAACAUUAUUCAUGGAAUAAAAACAUAUAUUCUAUAUAUUCUUGGAAAUAUAGUAUUCCAGACUAUACUACAGAGGGGUGACCAGCACCAGAGGUGGUGCUUAUUGCAAGAUAAUAUUGUAACAAAUCGAAAUGGGAAAAGGUCAUGUAACAAAGAAUGGAGCUCCA